rnacentral:rRNA from 1 species
UACGAAGGGGGCUAGCGUUGCUCGGAAUCACUGGGCGUAAAGCGCACGUAGGCGGCUUGCUAAGUCAGGGGUGAAAUCCUGGAGCUCAACUCCAGAACUGCCUUUGAUACUGGGAAUCUCGAGUCCGGGAGAGGUGAGUGGAACUGCGAGUGUAGAGGUGAAAUUCGUAGAUAUUCGCAAGAACACCAGUGGCGAAGGCGGCUCACUGGCCCGGUACUGACGCUGAGGUGCGAAAGCGUGGGGAGCAAACAGG